GGGCAGUGCCUGAACGCGCGCCCGGACUGACUCGUCCCUAGGAGGCUCGCAGCCGUCAGGCCUUUAGGAGCCUCCGUGCCAUUGCACCUGCUUUUUCUCGAAGAUUUUUGAAGAAAAAUUAAGAACAUUAGUCUGAAAACUACAAAGGAAACCAACCUCAUGUUCCUGGCCGAGAGAUCAGAAUAUAACCAAGGGAUUGCUAGGGAAAUGGCAUUGUCAAACAGAAGACCGAUUUCAGGGAUGGAGGAAAAGUGGGCAGACUAGAACUAGGCUGUCACCAUAUCCCUGCAAGAAACUCUCAAGAUACCUUUUGGAGAGAAAUGUGAGACCAACCAUCUCCCUGCCUUUGGGCCCCUCCCCAGCCCCUUCCCAAGGCUGAGGCCUGCCUGACAACAAGGCUUGCCUGCCUGUUCCACACCUGUGAGGAAGCUGAUGAAGGC